rnacentral:rRNA from 1 species
AUGCCGCUGCUGGCGCACUACAAGGUCGACCCCAAGCGCAACCGGCUGCUCAUGGUGGCCUGCAACGCCGAGGACAUGCUCCUCCCGCGCGCCAACUUCACUUUCUACGAGUUCGACGCCGGCUUCAGGCUGGUGCAGAAGCGGGAGUUCGUGCUGCCGGCGCACCUCAUGAUCCACGACUGGGCCUUCACCGACUCCCACUACGUCGUCCUCGGCAACAGGAUCAGGCUCGACAUCCCGGGGUCGAUGCUGGCCAUGACGCGCACGCACCCCAUGAUCGCGGCGCUCGCGCUGGACCCGGGCAAGCGGACCACGCCGGUCUACCUGCUGCCGCGCUCCACGGAGGCCGUGGCCAGCGGCCGCGACUGGACCGUGCCCGUCGAGGCGCCGUCGCAGAUGUGGUCGCUGCACGUCGGCAACGCCUUCGAGUAG